rnacentral:rRNA from 1 species
AGAUUGAACGCUAGCGGGAUGCUUUACACAUGCAAGUCGAACGGCAGCGCGGACUUCGGUCUGGCGGCGAGUGGCGAACGGGUGAGUAAUAUAUCGGAACGUGCCCAGUAGCGGGGGAUAACUACGCGAAAGCGUGGCUAAUACCGCAUACGCCCUACGGGGGAAAGGGGGGAUUCUUUCGAGAACCUCUCACUAUUGGAGCGGCCGAUAUCAGAUUAGCUAGUUGGUGAGGUAAAGGCUCACCAAGGCGACGAUCUGUAGCUGGUUUGAGAGGACGACCAGCCACACUGGGACUGACGACACGGCCCAGACUCCUACGGGAGCAGCAGUGGGAAUUUGGAC